ACCCGUACCAGAUACCAACGCCCAACAAGGGGAUACAAUCAAAGGUGGUACCAUCAUCAGGCUGCAACACAUGAGGACCAGAAAAUGGUUACAUAGCCACUUGCUAAAUGUACCCAGCAGACCUGUUCGAAAGAGCUGAGAUCAACUCAGUUUUAGACUGGCAUCACGCCAAUCUACGACAUAGUUCAGACCACACUUUUGGAUUACAUCAGGAAAAACAA